CGAGGUGACCCACGCUGCCUGCGCCGGGCAAGGAGCCGCUGAAGGGCAGGGAAUAAAACGCCCCCGCAGAAACCCCCCGAGAAAAAAAAAAAAAAAAAAAAGGAUGAAAAAGCCCUGUAAAUGUCUCCUAAAUCGGAAAGCGUGGAGUCGGGGGGCUAAUUCCUCGUCCAGGCCGAAGCUAACGAAGUUAUUCCAGGCAGCCCAGGGAGCGGGCAGGCAGCUCGGCUUCUUUCCCCACCGCUUUUCCCGCAGAGGAGCCGCUUGCCAGCCCCGGUGCGGCGGGACGCGCCGUCCCGGGGAAAAGGGCCUCGAAGUCGCGGGCAGCGACGGGCCGGGCCGGGCCACGAUGUGCCCGCGGCGGCCCAAGGGCUCCGGGCAGCGAGGGGCCCCGACGUGCCAGGCCGGUAUUUUUAGGCUGCGGAGCUUUGAUCUCUGCCCCGCCAGGGCUCCCCAGGCCGGGCGCCGCUCCAGCCGCUCGGGGAAGUGUAACCGAUCCGCGGGGCAGCAGGCAAAAAUAGUGGCCGGCACCGGAGCUCUCUGCCUGCCCUUGGCCUCCCGGCCGGUGCCGCACCGCUCCCGUCCCAAAACAGCCGGGGGGAAGAAGGUCUCUCGAGGGGCGGUUUUGAGGCCGAGGGGGGCAACACGGGCGGCAGGGCACGGACCUCCCCCGCCCCCCCGGGUGUCCCCGGCGGUACCUGGUGAAGACGUCGGGGUAGUGCGUUUUCUGGAAGGCCCUCUCCAGCUCCUCCAGCUGGUAGCUGGUGAAGGUGGUGCGGUAGCGUCGCUGCUUCCUCUUGAGCAGCCCCUCCUCGGAGUCGCUGCCGGCCGAGAGGCACACGCUCUCCUCGCCGUCCUUGCCCUCGCCGUCCUCGGGGUGCAGCAGCAGCUCCUCCUUGGGCGACAGCUCGCCGCCCUCGGCACCGGCGGCCGCGGCGGCGCCCCGACGGGCCUCCUUGAGGAGCGCGCCGCCGUCCUCGGCCAGCAGCUCCUCCUCCUCGUCGUCCUCCAGCUCCUCUUCCUCCUCGUCGUCCUCCUCCAGCAUCUCUUCGUCCUCGUCGUCCUCCUCCUCCUCGGCGGGAGGCGCGGCGGGGCCCGGCCGCUCCUCGACGUGCGCCGCGGCGGGGCCCAGCUCGUCGAGGGCGGGCGGCGGCGCCGCAAGUGUGGGGCAGCUCACCGGAGGAGUGGAUGGCCUUGCUGCGCUUCUGCAUGACCUGCAUGAGGGCCCCCACCAGCCCCUCGGGGGGCUGCCCCACGGCGCCCGCCUCGGGGCUCUCGGGGGUCUGUGGGGAGAGGGGGGAUGGGUUAGUGCUGCCCCACAGCGAGCCCUGCCCCACGGCAACCCGUGCCCCACGGCGAGCCCUGCCC
rnacentral:lncRNA from 1 species